rnacentral:rRNA from 1 species
GACGAACGCUGGCGGCGUGCUUAACACAUGCAAGUCGAGCGGUAAGGCCUUUCGGGGUACACGAGCGGCGAACGGGUGAGUAACACGUGGGUGACCUGCCCUCCACUUCGGGAUAAGCCUGGGAAACUGGGUCUAAUACGGGAUGGGACCAUUCCAUGCAUGUGGGGUGGUGGAAAGUCGGUGCUGUUGUGGUGCUGGCGGUGGGGAGUGGGCCGCGGUCUAUCAGCUUGUUGGGGGGUGGAUGGCUUACCAAGGCGACGACGGAUAGCCGGCCUGAGAGGGUGAUCGGCCACACUGGGAC